rnacentral:rRNA from 1 species
GAUGAACGCUGGCGGCGUGCCUAAUACAUGCAAGUCGAGCGAACAGACGAGGAGCUUGCUCCUCUGACGUUAGCGGCGGACGGGUGAGUAACACGUGGAUAACCUACCUAUAAGACUGGGAUAACUUCGGGAAACCGGAGCUAAUACCGGAUAAUAUAUUGAACCGCAUGGUUCAAUAGUGAAAGACAGUUUUGCUGUCACUUAUAGAUGGAUCCGCGCCGCAUUAGCUAGUUGGUAAGGUAACGGCUUACCAGGGCAACGAUGCGUAGCCGACCUGAGAGGGUGAUCGGCCACACUGGAACUGAGACACGGUCCAGACUCCUACGGGAGGCAGCAGUAGGGAAUCUUCCGCAAUGGGCGAAAGCCUGACGGAGCAACGCCGCGUGAGUGAUGAAGGUCUUCGGAUCGUAAAACUCUGUUAUUAGGGAAGAACAAAUGUGUAAGUAACUAUGCACGUCUUGACGGUACCUAAUCAGAAAGCCACGGCUAACUACGUG